rnacentral:rRNA from 1 species
AGGAAUAAGCCACCGAAAGGUGGUCUAAUACUUCAUAAUAUCCAUCUCGUAUGGAUUAAAGCUUUAUGCGCUUUGGGAGGGGCCUGCGUAACAUUAGCUUGUUGGUGAGGUAAAAGCUCACCAAGGCUUCGAUGUUUAACUGGUUUGAGAGGAUGACCAGUCACACUGGGACUGAGAUACGGCCCAGACUCCUACGGGAGGCAGCAGUAAGGAAUCUUCCACAAUGGGGCAACCCUGAUGGAGCAAUACCGCGUGCAGGAUGAAGCGUUUCGGCGUGUAAACUGCUUUUAUCACCGAAGAUUAUGACUGUAGGUGAAGAAUAAGGACCGGCUAACUACGUG